GAUGAACGCUGGCGGCGUGCCUAACACAUGCAAGUCGAGCGAACAGACGAGGAGCUUGCUCCUCUGACGUUAGGGGCGGAAGGGUGUGUAACAUGUGUAUAACGCACCUAUAAGUCUGGUAUAUCUUCGGGAAACCGGAUCUAAUACGCGAGAAUAUAUUGAACCCCAUGGUUCAAUAGUGAAUGACGGUUUUUCUGUCACUUCUAGAUGGAUUUGGGCCGCAGUAGGUAGUUGGUAAGGUAACGGCUUUUCAUGGCGACGAUGCGUAGACGACCGGAGUGGGUGAUCGGCCGCACGGGAGCUUAGACACCGUCCAGACUACUACGGUAGGCCGCAGUAGGCAAUGUUCCGCAAUGGGCGAAAACCUAGCAGAGCAGCGCCGCGUGUGUGAUGAAGGUGUUCGGAUCGUGAAAAUCUCUUAUUAGGGAGAAACAGAUGUGUCAGUAACUGUGCACGUCUUGACGGUACCUAAUCAGAAAGCAACGGCUAACUACGUG
rnacentral:rRNA from 1 species